rnacentral:lncRNA from 1 species
ACAUGAUACCAUGCAGACUGAAUGAAACCCGUCUACAAAAGAUAACUUAGUUACAUACGUAGUUCCUUAGUAACUUAUAAUGUAAGACAGUCGGUGUAUCUAGUCCAUGUCAUGUUUUGCAUUAGUCUCAACUCUCGAGUGAUUGAGUGAUUGUAUUUCCGUGCCAAUAAUAAACAUCAAACGACCCGUGAAAGUCAAUUACGUAGUCUAUUCCAAGUGCAUUGCAUCCUCUGUUGUCGUAUUGACUUGCUCAGAUUAGGGUUUGCUCCGUCCCGUGUUUACGAUGUUUAUUUACUACGUAAGUUAGUCUGUCACUAAAACGCGUCGAUUUGAAGAGUGUAUAUCGUCAUCACCAGCGCAAGUAACUUAACUUCAGAGUAUGUUUUGUACAGAACAAGAUUUGGACAGAGAAGCCAUCAUUAUAUACGUCACAGAUGGUCCAGCCAUCGAAAAACGGGUCUGGUGGUCGAUGCUAGUACUUACUAUGUACUAGGCUAGUGUGUAGGACGGGUUCAGUGACCGGUCUGUGCUGAGGGAACGCGUUUCACGGCUUCUUCUGAGUAUGUAGUAGUUAUGUAACUGUCCGAUCGGAAAAGCGAAGAAAGACGAGGAGGGGUAGUGUCUCAUGUUGUCUUGGUCUUAAACGUCCCGUCUGACCUGACAGACAGCCCUGUCGUGUUUGUUUUGAAAUGUCGUCGGGGCCAGAAUCAGGAUGUGAUGGGAGGUGCAUAACCGACGGUGAUCUCGCGAGUCGAGACGCCGAAUGGACGCACGAAGAGGGGGCAUGGAUUGAGUCAAUUGGAUAGCCCCCAACUCGUCGCUGCGAACUCUGAACUCAGUGUCGUAGCGUGUGUGCUUGAGCGACUUCUGGCAGUAGCUCAGCAAAGUCCACAAGGGCAAUCGUUUCAGCUGGCCAUGGUCCAUGCCAUGCCUGUACGAAACCCACGGAGUAGUACUACGUAAAUACUUGUAGUAACUUGUGUUGGAAAGAGAGUCCAAUCUCGAAACACCGGACGAUGGGGACCAACAGCCCAGUUAGUGGGGAAAAAAGCAAAGAAGUACGACUUUAUCUCAUGAUCAGAUUCGUCGAAUGCAAUCCGAUACGAUGAUCCUCUUGUGCCUGGGCUGCUGAUUGGUUCGUUGUGGUCGCUCGCGUGUGAUGGCCCGGACGAGAAUAGCACAUCAGACCGCCUGCUUCCAGCAGUCGCUCUAAUGGAGGUGAGCUGCGCUAGUAUGAACAAAACUCCAAACACAUGGCGCAUGAUCCCUGUCUGUGGCCAAUUAGAUGGAAUUUCGCAAAUCCCAUAAGGCUUAAGCGCUGUGAGUGAGAUGCGUGAUGGGUCAGUCAGAGUUUAAGAAGGCUGAGCUGAAUAGAUUUGCAGUCGAUGGUCUCUGCCGUCUGUUUGACAGCGUACAUAACGUACUACGUAAGUUAGUAGUAUGCUGGCAUACUGGAUGUGUCUAUCUCUACCGCUCUACAAUAGUUAACUCAUAUACAGACGCACACCCCGGUUCUCCAGAUGCAGCCUGUCACAUAGCCAAGCAGAAAAUAGUUACUCGCAACACUGCCUCAAAAAGUGAUAGCAUCUACCGUAGUAUUCCUGACUAGUGCGGGGUUGAUCAGGUACAAGCCACGAGUCAGCGAUGCUCGCCAUUCUCGCCGUCGAUGUCAUGACUUGCUCAUCUCUGCACUUGCGGCGUAUGCCAUGCUGAUGGCUGAUGGGUCCGAUCGUUCUGUUCUUGCAGAUGGCCCUGUAGAUACGCCUUCUGACUCAUCCAAUCACAACAUCCAAACAUGUUUUGAUUUAGCUGAACAUACAUGACAUGACUCGAUGUCAUACAAACAUAGCAACCAUAGCAGAGAUGAGAUGGGUGCUACGUAGUACGUACGCAGCGUCCAGCCAUACGAGAUGAAGAUCGCAUUUUUUGUUUAAGCGUAUGACCUGACCGUACAUGAUGCAUCUCAUUCUUCUCGAUGGAGGGGCUCCAACUUCCAAGGCACUCGAACGCAUGUGGAGAACAGCAGACGACGAGAAGCAGGAAAGAAAAAUUUUAAGCUCGAUUGCGGAUCUGAGAGAAAUUCGAGUGGGUACGCGCUACGGAUGCCUGUGAAGGGGAUCGAGAUGUCUUGCCGAUUGUAUGUAGUACUACUGUAUUGCUAGAUCAGAUGGAUAGCGACGCUCCCCAGUUAGACUUUUGAAUGCCAAGUAGAUACCCUAAUCAGCAGGUACGUACAAUUGAGUAGCUGCGUAGAGUACGUACUCUGCAGAGGGAGAAAUAGACAGAAUGAAGAUCACAAAACCCACUUUGUUAGAAAUCUACUUAGUUAUACUACGAAGUAACAGGAAUUGCUGAAUACAGCAUUGAUCUACAUGGUAUUUCUCCUAGCACGCAGCGCAGACCUCUCAGUCCUUCCUGUAAAAGCUGUAGUAGGAGGUCAGAGCCGCCGUGAAAAUGCAAUGCUCGCAGUUCAGAACCAGCUGCUACACAUCGCACAAAGAAUAGAUUGUCAAGAUAUUUAUAUAUCCCUUAAUAUUUGACCGAAUAAACUUAGACUCGGUAAAAAGUAACACAAAGAACAAAAGAAAAAAAAAGGAAGAAAGAAAAAAAUUUUCGAGCCUAGAUACAGUGAGCCAAAGUUUUGCUGGCUCUGUUGCCGGGUUGACCAAGCCGCCUCAUUUUGUAUGGAGUACAAUGUACGGAGUACACCGUAUACCUGUAUUUUUUUUUUAGUAGAAAUCCUGAAAGACUGCAAGAAUAGCAAGAAAGCGAUUCUUUUUCUUUUCUUAUUAACAAAAGCUCAUUCUUAUCCAAAUCUAUAUAUAGGAAGUAACUAGGUGCUGAAUGGAUGUCGGGUAUUUCCUUGCAUCCAGUAUGUAGCAGCUAAUUAGCUAUUCGCUCCUUGAUUCCACUGGAGAUCCAAGGCACAACUCCAUACCUACCCGGUCGUCGUACAGUACUCCGUAACUACAUACUCUGUAGUACUACAUCCUACGGAGGAGUACGUACAUAGUCAAAGCCUAAAACCAAUAAUCAUCGCACUAACCCGUCUAGAUUGCUAGCCGUGCAAGUUUGGAGCUCCGUCAGACGUGGGCGGUUGUUGCUGAGCAGCGCGUGUCGGCCUUGACUGAGUUGGUUCUAGCCUUGUUCUCUGCCCUAUGAGACGGCUAAUCGCUCGGAAUUUGGGCGUAGCUGGUUGGCUGGCCUGAUUCGUUUAGAUUAAUUAAUCCGACGACUAGAAUAUCGUUACUACAGUGAUCGCUAAGGAGCCUCCGUCGUCAAGGAAGGACGGACUGAAAGUAAAGCCCCGUACAGGGCUGCACUCAGCUCUUGUACAAGCCAAUACGGCGGAGGGUUA